rnacentral:lncRNA from 1 species
GGGCGGGCCAAAACUCCCAGGGGGGGCGUGGCUUGUAAAGGAGGCCCCUCCCCCUCCUCUGUAUAUCUGGGUCUGGGGGGCUCCCAAGAGUGGCGGAUCUUUAUUGGGUGGGGGGGUUGUUUUAAGCACUGUUAGGCUGUUCUAUGGGCCGGGCUCGGGAGGUCCAUAGGUCUUACGAAUGGGGUCUUCGUGCCUAUGGUGCCUGCUUUCACAGUGAUUUGGGGGGGGGUCUUAGUGGUCUCAAUGGGGGGGGGUCCCUCAUGGGGGGGGCUAUGGGGGUCCUAAAGCUCCAUAGGGGAUAAUGGGGGGGUCUUAAGACUCCAUAGUGGUGUAUGGGGGGGUCCCAGGGCUCCAUAGGGAACAAUGGGGGCAGGGGUCUUAAGGGGGGUCCCACAUCUCCAUAGGGGUCUCAGUGAGUCCAUAGGGGUCCGGGGGGGUCCCACAGCCCCAUAGGGCUCCAUGGCUGCUCCCGGUGCCAUUCCCGGUUCCGAUCCCGGUUCAGAUCCCGGUUCCAUUCCCCAUUCAGAUCCCGGUUCGGAUCCCGGUUCGAUUCCCCCUUCAGUUCCAUCCCGGUUCGGAUCCCGGUUCGGAUCCCGGUUCCAUUCCCCGUUAUUCGGAUCCCGGUUCGAUUCCCCCUUCAGUUCCAUCCCGUUCAGAUCCCGGUUCAGAUCCCGGUUCAUGUCCCCGUUUAAAUCCCGGUUAGGAUCCCUGUUCCAUUCCCGGUUCGUUUCCCCGUUCAACUCCCGGUUCAGUUCCCGGUUCCAUUCCCCGUUUAACUCCCGUUUCGGCUCCCGUUUCGGCUCCCCGUUCACCUCGCUCCCGUUCGCCUCCAUCCCGUCGUUCCUCCGGUUCCAUCCCGUCUCCAUCCGGUUCCGUUCCGUCCGGUUCCCCCCUGUUUCCGUUCCUGAGGCUGGCGGCCAACACGAUCCCCUGCACGGCGGCGUAGGCGGCCCCGAGCGGCAGCAUCAGCUCCUGCAGCACCAACCGGAGCCCGGCGGCCGCCAUGAUGAACGCGGCCAGGCCUUGACACCAGGCCCCGGCCGCUCCGUUCAACCCUAUGGCCGUUAA